UUUUAACUGGGGUUUUGAAUGCUGAAUAGGAAUUCGUUAGACUAAUAAGGGAAGGAAAGUCAUUGCAGCAGAGGAAACAACUUGAGCAAAAGAAUUACAAUUAUGUGUUUGAGGACUAGUAAGCAGUCUGGAGUCCUGUGUAGAGAAUAUUACGGGGAAGAGUGAGAAGGAGGCACGCAGUCUGGAGACAGCCCGUGAAGAUUAUAUAUUUUAUUUGCAUGCUAGUUAGUUUGGACAUUCUUCUGAGCGCUGGAGAGCAAGAGAUCAUUAGGUGGUUGUGUUUCAGAAAAAGACGAAUGCACAGAGCAUGGAUUGGCAGGAGAGAGAGGAAGCAGGGGGCUGUGCUUACAGAGCAAGUUAGAAAUCAUCAAGUAGUGGACUGGGACUGGAAAGCAGGGGUUAGAAGGUUGGGAGCAGGGAGCAGGUGACAGAGAAGUUUCAGAUGAGAAUGGCCUGGAAAUUAAGCAAGAAAGUGGAAGGGACGCCUCUAAGCCAAGUCCAGACUAGUGCUGGUCUGUAGGCCAAAUCUGCGUCAGCCACAGGUUUACAAAUUUGGAGAUUGUUUUUAGAGGGAGGAGAAUGGUUCAACAAAUGUUUUAUUUUUCUUCUGCUUCUAGAUACUUUUUAUUUUGAAAAAAUUGUACAAGAACACAAGUGUUCAAGGACACCCGUAUGCACACUAUAUUCAUCAACUGGAUCUGCAUGGCUGGUGAUGAUGAGGGAUACGGAGCUGAGGAGAAGGAUCUUAAGGGAAAAUAUUGACAACAUUGGUUUUAGAUGUUUCAUAAGAGUUGACAAUCAUUGUCAUGAAGUCGGAAGAGCCAUCUGAACUGCAGGAGCAUUGAUUCUACCAGAGAAAUUAACCACCGUGAACAUGUCAUGGAUUAGUGAAUAAAACCACUCCAAUUCUUGUCCUCAUUUCUCCUCUUUGGCCUCAUUCUUGGAGCUGUGCUUUGCUCAGAUUCCCC
rnacentral:lncRNA from 1 species